CCUGUAAGAUGAAACCUGUACAUCGUGAGUGUGCCCUGCGUGCGUAAACUUGUAAGAUGAAACCUCAACACCUGAACAUGUAGUGCGCUCGGUCGUGCCAUCUCGUAUAAGGCUGAAAGGUUCAAGGUAAGGUCGCGUUGGCUGCUCGGUCUCCGCCUCGACGGGUCCGUGUCCGUCGUGUCGUCGUCGGCCACCGGUGGGGAGGGUGUCGUCAUUUGUUUAGGCGAGGCAGCAGCGGUGCGAAGGGAAGCAGUUGUGGGCGCUGGAGCGGGGCGGGGGCGGCGGAGCCAGGCUGGCCUCCGGGGGUAGGGGUUAAGGAGCGGCGGAGGCGGCGGGUUCGAGGAGGCGCGCGAAGGUAGGUUUAGGGCGCGGGCGCUAAGCCGUCCGGUCCGGUCCGGGGGAAGGACCAAUCAACCGACUCCGCGGGGAGAGGACGCAAGAACUCCUUAAGAAACUGGCCUAAGCUAUGCCAGAGGUCGGAGCGGCAGAAGGGUGGCUCGAAGGAGGCGGGGCCAGUUUCAAACGCCGGCCGGAAAAGGUCGCUCAAGGCAGGGCCGGAAAGCCGAAAGCAGUGUCGGGGCGGCGCAAGGAGUUCUUAGUUCUAAGGAUUAAACCCGACGCACGUUUCUACCGCAGGUCGCGGCCACUAGACGGGCUCCACUUUAAGUUCUCCUGGCCCUCGGACCCCUCGUCGCUGAUGCACGCUCGUCUGUUCUAGCUGGAGUGGUCGGAGCUGUAGGUCGAUCUCGUCGUCGAGUUGUUCUUUACCCCGUUCUGGUUGUAGUUCGGGGUCCCUGGGUUCCGCCUGACCCUCUAACUGGAACGAUUCGACCUCUAGGCCGUACAGUAGCGGGUCCCGUGCAUACCUUGGCAGAUGGCGCCGUGGAUACUACCGGUCGUCCAGCGUCACUUCGAAAACCUAACCCCUCUUCUACCAAAACGGUGUCUUCGGCUUUGAUGACGAAACGCUUGUAGUAAAUUCGUCCUCCAACGACAAACCGUAUUCGAGUCGGUAGGAUUGCAAUGUUCCAAAUAACCACGCAGAUACCCCUGGUGGCUGGAGUUCUAUGGCCAGUUACUGUUGCCGCGCGCACGGUUGAACGGUCGAUCUCGUACAACACAACACCAUCUCAUAGAGCGACCUCCGUGAAACUUCGUCAUAGACUAUUUCUUGUCUGCCGCCUUCGAGCGGAUGUUUCAGCACCAAGUCGAACGUAACCUAGACAGGUCUCCUAACUCGAUAGAUGUGAGAUCUUUCUAACAUGUAGCCCUGCACUUUUGACUUUUAUACGACGAACUAUGUGUCGCAUUGGAAUUCUAACGACUAAAACCGCAACGUGCACACCUCCGAGUCUUAGGCUUCCUAUACUGACCACGCUGUCCGUGUGAACCAAUAUACCGGGGUCUCCAAGAACUACCAUUUGGUAUGUUGUCCUUUACACUACAAAUGUCAAAACCGUAAACGAACACCCUUUAGAUAACGACACUGUACGGUAUGGGUCUGGAUUCAAAACGGCUACAGAGAAGACGACAGCAAGUGGUCUUAAACGCCGGUCUGUAUGGGGCAACGACAGGUUCACGUAAACGCUUGUAAUACGCAUUUACGACCCUACCUUUAGGACUAUUCGCGGGGCUAUACCUGCUCCACCACGUCGAGUACCUCCGGGAGCUGUGUUCGUUUCCGCCGCCAUACUAUGGCCUACCGGUCAGCAGGCCUACGAACACAAAGUGGUCCCGGGCACCGGGCAUCUAUGAAACGUUCGUGGGAGGAGGGAGACCGAUACACAAUGGUGAACUGCACUGGCCCUCGAGGUGUCGAACGAAGGGCGACAGCGAACACGUCUCCGACGAACGUCGGGAGGUUCACCCGAACGGCAAAGACGCCACAACACAACCAACGUCGAGACCAUACUAGUGACACCAGUCACGUGAAGGAAGCAUAUCGUCAGACAACAACAUUACCAUGCAACAUGAAGAUGAUACUCCAAUGUGUAUCUCCAGAGAUAGAGUAAGAACCUCGACGGCGGCGGAAAGGACGCAAGUAAACCGGCGCCGCCGCCAUGCAGAACCUAUGGCGCAGUACAAAGCCUUGGAAAGAGCGACACAUAUAAUAUGGGUCUGAGCUUUACUCAUGUUAUUUUCACGUAUUUAUAUGAACACAACUCGCGAAUACCAUGUAAGUGGACAAGUCCUGAACUCCAUUAAAACUCUGUUCGACCACGACCAAAGAGACG
rnacentral:rRNA from 1 species